AAAAUUUCUUCAAGUAAAUUAAACAAAGUCAAAAAAAUUUUGUUUAAAAAACCAGUUGCUAUAGUUAAACCUUAUAUUCCUGAAAAAGAAUAUAAAUUGCCGCAAGUGUAUGUACCUAGAGUGGUAGAGAACAGACCUCUAGAAGAAAAAGAUGAAAAUAUGUAUGCAGGCGAACUUGAUUAUUAUGAUGAUUUGCCUGAUAUAGAUGAUAAACAAAUACGCUUAAUGCAUGAGUAUGAAUUUGGAACACCGCAAAGAAGAAAUCGUUACUUUUGUCGCGAAUGUUGCUCAUGUGUCAACAGUGAUAGCGUUUGUCGUUUUUGGUUUUACAAUAGCUACUGGCGGUGUCGAGUUUUGAAAUUGUUGUAAUGGUUUGUUUUUUUCCAUUUACUAAACAAAACAAAAAUUCAAACUUUA